rnacentral:rRNA from 1 species
GGUGAACGCUGGCGGCGUGCCUAAAACAUGCAAGUCGAGCGGAAACACGAGGAGCGGUCGCCCCUACGGGUAGCGACGGACGGGCGAGUAACACGUGGAUAGGCUACAUAUAAGACGGGGAGAAUAACGGGAGACCGGUGCUGCUAACAGAUAAUAGAGCCAACAGCAUCAAGCAAAAGAGCUAGGCGGAUUUGGUGACACUUAUAGACGAUACCGCGCCGCAUUAGCUAGGUGGUAACGUAACGGCUAACCAAGGCGACGAUGCGUAGCUGAGCUGAGAGGGUGAUCAGCCACACUGGAACUGAGACACGGUCCAGACUCCUACGGGAGGCAGCAGUCGGGAAUCUUCGACAAUGGGCGAAAGCCUGACGGAGCCAUGCCGCGUGCGUGAUGAAGGUCUUCGGAUCGUAAAACCCUGUUCUUUGGGAAGAACAGAUGUAUCCUUAGCUCUGGCCGUCUUGACGGUACCUACACAGAAAGCACCGGCUAACUACGUG